rnacentral:rRNA from 1 species
GUGGGGAAUUUUGGACAAUGGGCGCAAGCCUGAUCCAGCAAUGCCGCGUGCAGGAAGAAGGCCUUCGGGUUGUAAACUGCUUUUGUACGGAACGAAACGGUCCUGGUUAAUACCUGAGGCUAAUGACGGUACCGUAAGAAUAAGCACCGGCUAACUACGUGCCAGCAGCCGCGGUAAUACGUAGGGUGCGAGCGUUAAUCGGAAUUACUGGGCGUAAAGCGUGCGCAGGCGGUGCUGUAAGACAGGCGUGAAAUCCCCGGGCUCAACCUGGGAAUUGCGCUUGUGACUGCAGUGCUGGAGUACGGCAGAGGGGGAUGGAAUUCCGCGUGUAGCAGUGAAAUGCGUAGAUAUGCGGAGGAACACCGAUGGCGAAGGCAGUCCCCUGGGCCUGUACUGACGCUCAUGCACGAAAGCGUGGGGAGCAAACAGGAUUAGAUACCCCGGUAGUCC